UACGUAGGGAGCAAGCGUUGUCCGGAAUCAUUGGGCGUAAAGCGCGCGUAGGCGGCCCUGUAAGUCCGUUGUGAAAGUCAAAGGCUCAACCUUUGAAAGCCGAUGGAUACUGCAGGGCUAGAGUCCGGAAGAGGCGAGUGGAAUUCCUGGUGUAGCGGUGGAAUGCGCAGAUAUCAGGAGGAACACCAAUGGCGAAGGCAAUCCCCUGGGCCUGCACUGACGCUCAUGCACGAAAGCGUGGGGAGCAAACAGG
rnacentral:rRNA from 1 species